rnacentral:tRNA from 1 species
GCCCGCAUAGCUCAGUCGGUAGAGCAUCAGACUUUUAUGACUGAAUCUUCAGAGUCAGCUGAGGGUCGUGGGUUCAUGUCCCCCUGUGGGCG